AGCAGCUGCGGUAAUUCCAGCUCCAAUAGCGUAUAUUAAAGUUGUUGCAGUUAAAAAGCUCGUAGUUGAAUUUCGGGAUCGAAUUGUUGGUCGUGCCUCGGUACGCACUGGCAUUAUCGGUUUCUACCUUCUGAAGAACCGCGAUGUCAUUAAUUUGGUGUCGUGGGGAAUCAGGACUGUUACUUUGAAAAAAUUAGAGUGUUUAAAGCAGGCUUACGCUUGAAUACAUUAGCAUGGAAUAAUGAAAUAGGACGUUUGAUUCUAUUAUGUUGGUUUCUAGGAUCGACGUAAUGAUUAAUAGGGAUAGUUGGGGGCAUUAGUAUUCAAUUGUCAGAGGUGAAAUUCUUGGAUUUAUUGAAGACUAACUACUGCGAAAGCAUUUGCCAAGGAUGUUUUCAUUAAUCAAGAACGAAAGUUAGGGGAUCGAAGACGAUCAGAUACCGUCGUAGUCUUAACCAUAAACUAUGCCGACUAGGGAUCGGAUGAUGUUAAUUUUUUAAUGACUCA
rnacentral:rRNA from 1 species